rnacentral:rRNA from 1 species
UACGAAGGGGGCUAGCGUUGUUCGGAAUUACUGGGCGUAAAGCGCGUGUAGGCGGGUCUUUAAGUCAGGGGUGAAAUGCCAAGGCUCAACCUUGGAACUGCCUUUGAUACUGGAGACCUUGAGUCCGGGAGAGGUGAGUGGAAUUGCGAGUGUAGGGGUGAAAUUCGUAGAUAUUCGCAAGAACACCAGUGGCGAAGGCGGCGAUCUGGGUCGAUACUGACGCUGAGGUGCGAAAGCGUGGGGAGCAAACAGG